rnacentral:rRNA from 1 species
AACGAACGCUGGCGGCGUGCCUAACACAUGCAAGUCGAACGAAGUCUUCGGACUUAGUGGCGCACGGGUGCGUAACGCGUGGGAAUCUGCCCUUGGGUGCGGAAUAACUUCUCGAAAGGGAUGCUAAUACCGCAUAAUGUCGUAAGACCAAAGAUUUAUCGCCCAAGGAUGAGCCCGCGUAAGAUUAGCUAGUUGGUGGGGUAAAAGCCUACCAAGGCGACGAUCUUUAGCUGGUCUGAGAGGAUGAUCAGCCACACUGGGACUGAGACACGGCCCAGACUCCUACGGGAGGCAGCAGUGGGGGAUAUUGGACAAUGGGCGAAAGCCUGAUCCAGCAAUGCCGCGUGAGUGAUGAAGGCCCUAGGGUUGUAAAGCUCUUUUACCAGGGAUGAUAAUGACAGUACCUGGAGAAUAAGCUCCGGCUAACUCCGUGCCAGCAGCCGCGGUAAU